rnacentral:rRNA from 1 species
AUUGAACGCUGGCGGCAGGCCUAACACAUGCAAGUCGAGCGGUAGAGAGAAGCUUGCUUCUCUUGAGAGCGGCGGACGGGUGAGUAAUGCCUAGGAAUCUGCCUGGUAGUGGGGGAUAACGUUCGGAAACGGACGCUAAUACCGCAUACGUCCUACGGGAGAAAGCAGGGGACCUUCGGGCCUUGUGCUAUCAGAUGAGCCUAGGUCGGAUUAGCUAGUUGGUGGGGUAAUGGCUCACCAAGGCGACGAUCCGUAACUGGUCUGAGAGGAUGAUCAGUCACACUGGAACUGGGGCACGGUCCAGACGCCUACGGGAGGCAGCAGUGGGGAAUAUUGGACAAUGGGCGAAAGCCUGAUCCAGCCAUGCCGCGUGUGUGAAGAAGGUCUUCGGAUUGUAAAGCACUUUAAGUUGGGAGGAAGGGCAGUAAAUUAAUACUUUGCUGUUUUGACGUUACCGACAGAAUAAGCACCGGCUAACUCUGUGCCAGCCGCCGCGGUAA